UAGAGUUUGAUCCUGGCUCAGGAUGAACGCUAGCUACAGGCUUAACACAUGCAAGUCGAGGGGCAGCAUGAACUUAGCUUGCUAAGUUUGAUGGCGACCGGCGCACGGGUGAGUAACACGUAUCCAACCUGCCGAUGACUCGGGGAUAGCCUUUCGAAAGAAAGAUUAAUACCCGAUGGCAUAGUUCUUCCGCAUGGUAGAACUAUUAAAGAAUUUCGGUCAUCGAUGGGGAUGCGUUCCAUUAGCUUGUUGGCGGGGUAACGGCCCACCAAGGCGUCGAUGGAUAGGGGUUCUGAGAGGAAGGUCCCCACAUUGGAACUGAGACACGGUCCAAACUCCUACGGGAGGCAGCAGUGAGGAAUAUUGGUCAAUGGGCGCUAGCCUGAACCAGCCAAGUAGCGUGAAGGAUGACUGCCCUAUGGGUUGUAAACUUCUUUUAUAUGGGAAUAAAGUGCAGUAUGUAUACUGCUUUGCAUGUACCUUAUGAAUAAGGAUCGGCUAACUCCGUGCCAGCAGCCGCGGUAAUACGGAGGAUCCGAGCGUUAUCCGGAUUUAUUGGGUUUAAAGGGAGCGUAGGCGGGUUGUUAAGUCAGUUGUGAAAGUUUGCGGCUCAACCGUAAAAUUGCAGUUAAUACUGGCAUCCUUGAGUACAGUAGAGGUAGGCGGAAUUCGUGGUGUAGCGGUGAAAUGCUUAGAUAUCACGAAGAACUCCGAUUGCGAAGGCAGCCUGCUGGACUGUAACUGACGCUGAUGCUCGAAAGUGUGGGUAUCAAACAGGAUUAGAUACCCUGGUAGUCCACACAGUAAACGAUGAAUACUCGCUGUUUGCGAUAUACAGUAAGCGGCCCAGCGAAAGCGUUA
rnacentral:rRNA from 1 species